rnacentral:rRNA from 1 species
GCUAGCUACAGGCUUAACACAUGCAAGUCGAGGGGAAACGACAUCGAAAGCUUGCUUUUGAUGGGCGUCGACCGGCGCACGGGUGAGUAACGCGUAUCCAACCUGCCCAUCACUUGGGGAUAACCUUGCGAAAGUAAGACUAAUACCCAAUGACGUCUCUAGAAGACAUCUGAAGGAGAUUAAAGAUUUAUCGGUGAUGGAUGGGGAUGCGUCUGAUUAGCUUGUUGGCGGGGUAACGGCCCACCAAGGCGACGAUCAGUAGGGGUUCUGAGAGGAAGGGUCCCCUACAUUGGAACUGAGACACGGUCCAAACUCCUACGGGAGGCAGCAGUGAGGAAUAUUGGUCAAUGGGCGAGAGCCUGAACCAGCCAAGUAGCGUGCAGGAUGACGGCCCUAUGGGUUGUAAACUGCUUUUAUAAGGGAAUAAAGUGAGUCUCGUGAGACUUUUUGCAUGUACCUUAUGAAUAAGGACCGGCUAAUUCCGUGCCAGCAGCCGCGGUAAUACGGAAGGUCCGGGCGUUAUCCGGAUUUAUUGGGUUUAAAGGGAGCGUAGGCCGGAGAUUAAGCGUGUUGUGAAAUGUAGACGCUCAACGUCUGCACUGCAGCGCGAACUGGUUUCCUUGAGUACGCACAAAGUGGGCGGAAUUCGUGGUGUAGCGGUGAAAUGCUUAGAUAUCACGAAGAACUCCGAUUGCGAAGGCAGCUCACUGGAGCGCAACUGACGCUGAAGCUCGAAAGUGCGGGUAUCGAACAGGAUUAGAUACCCUGGUAGUCCGCACGGUAAACGAUGGAUGCCCGCUGUUGGUCUGAAUAGGUCAGCGGCCAAGCGAAAGCAUUAAGCAUCCCACCUGGGGAGUACGCCGGCAACGGUGAAACUCA